rnacentral:rRNA from 1 species
AGCGAACGUUAGCGGCGGGCCUAACACAUGCAAGUCGAACGGGCUGUAGCAAUACAGUCAGUGGCGCACGGGUGCGUAACGCGUAGAUAAUCUACCUCUCAGUGGGGGAUAACUAGGGGAAACUCUAGCUAAUACCGCAUAAGACCACGGAGUCUUCGGGCUUUGAGGGAAAAGGCGGCCUCUGAAUAUGCUGUCGCUGGGAGAUGAGUCUGCGUCCCAUCAGCUAGUUGGUGAGGUAAUGGCUCACCAAGGCAAAGACGGGUAGCUGGUCUGAGAGGAUGAUCAGCCACACUGGCACUGGAACACGGGCCAGACUCCUACGGGAGGCAGCAGUGGGGAAUUUUGGACAAUGGGCGCAAGCCUGAUCCAGCCAUGCCGCGUGCGGGACGAAGGCC